rnacentral:rRNA from 1 species
UGUCCUGUAGUGGGGGAUAGCCCGGCGAAACAAGAAUUAAUACCGCAUAUGAUCUAGGGAUGAAAGCGGGGGAUCUUCGGACCUCGCGCUAUAGGGGCGGCCGAUGCCGGAUUAGCUAGUUGGUGAGGUAAAGGCUCACCAAGGUGACGACCCGUCGCGGGUCUGAGAGGACGACCAGCCACCCUGGGACUGAGACACGGCCCAGACCCCUACGGGGGGCGGCGGUGGGGAAUUUUGGACAAUGGGCGAAAGUUUGAUCCAGCAAUGCCGCCUGUGUGAAGAUGGCCUUCGGGUUAAAAAGCACUUUUGUCCGGAAAGAAGCUCUGGCCCUAAUAUGGCCGGGGAAAGCUGCACCGAGAAAAUAAGCACCGGUUAACUACGUGCUAGUAGGCGGUUAAUACGU